rnacentral:misc_RNA from 1 species
GCCAGUACGAAUGUUGUCAAAUACUCAAUGGAAGUUAGUUGACCAAUCCCACGAGGCAUAUGAGUCAAACUAACACAUCCCGAAAUGCCAAGAUCCCUGAGAUUGACCAACCUUUUCAUAUGCUUAGGCAGCUGCUUAAGCUUUUCACAAUCAUAUAGGUACAGAGUUUGCAGGUUUUGGAGUUUAAUAAUGGAAUCAGGAAGGAUCUCAAUGCCUUUACUAUCAGAAAGAUCGAGAAACCUUAUAAGUUUUAAUUUGCC